AUGGAGGUAUAUGUAAUGAUUCAAGUACUGUUAAGAUUCUUGAGGUGGCAGUAAUCUACUUUCACUUUCAAGCUUGUUUUUGUUUUUGUUUUUGUUUUUUUUUUCUUCUUUUUAAUCCCUAUUUUUGCAUGAACCGAUUCUUUUGAAUUUAUGGUCCAUCGGGAUGCCCUAACUUUUUCCUAAGUCAACUCCUUUUUAGUUUUUGACUUAGCGGGCUCUUUUUAAAACAUGAUCCCCUUACUUUUGCCUAAGUCAAUUUUUUAGUUUUUUUUUUA
rnacentral:lncRNA from 1 species